rnacentral:rRNA from 1 species
UUGAACGCUGGCGGCAGGCCUAACACAUGCAAGUCGAGCGGAUGAAGGGAGCUUGCUCCUGGCUUCAGCGGCGGACGGGUGAGUAAUGCCUAGGAAUCUGCCUGGUAGUGGGGGAUAACGUCCGGAAACGGGCGCUAAUACCGCAUACGUCCUGAGGGAGAAAGUGGGGGAUCUUCGGACCUCACGCUAUCAGAUGAGCCUAGGUCGGAUUAGCUAGUUGGUGGGGUAAAGGCCUACCAAGGCGACGAUCCGUAACUGGUCUGAGAGGAUGAUCAGUCACACUGGAACUGAGACACGGUCCAGACUCCUACGGGAGGCAGCAGUGGGGAAUAUUGGACAAUGGGCGAAAGCCUGAUCCAGCCAUGCCGCGUGUGUGAAGAAGGUCUUCGGAUUGUAAAGCACUUUAAGUUGGGAGGAAGGGCAGUAAGUUAAUACCUUGCUGUCUUGACGUUACCAACAGAAUAAGCACCGGCUAACUUCGUG